rnacentral:tRNA from 1 species
GGAGAAGUGGCCGAGUGGCUGAAGGCAACCGCCUGCUAAGCGGUUUAGGGGUGUUAAGCUCCUUCCCGGGUUCGAAUCCCGGCUUCUCCGCCA